rnacentral:rRNA from 1 species
AUUGAACGCUGGCGGCAGGCCUAACACAUGCAAGUCGAGCGGGGUUUUCGGACCUAGCGGCGGACGGGUGAGUAAUGCGUAGGAAGCUACCCGAUAGAGGGGGAUACCAGUUGGAAACGACUGUUAAUACCGCAUAAUGUCUACGGACCAAAGUGUGGGACCUUCGGGCCACAUGCUAUCGGAUGCGCCUACGUGGGAUUAGCUAGUUGGUGAGGUAAUGGCUCACCAAGGCGACGAUCUCUAGCUGGUUUGAGAGGAUGAUCAGCCACACUGGAACUGAGACACGGUCCAGACUCCUACGGGAGGCAGCAGUGGGGAAUAUUGGUCAAUGGGUGCAAGCCUGAACCAGCCAUCCCGCGUGAAGGACGACUGCCCUAUGGGUUGUAAACUUCUUUUGUAUAGGGAUAAACCUAUCCUCGUGAGGGUAGCUGAAGGUACUAUACGAAUAAGCACCGGCUAACUCCGUGCCAGCAGCCGCGGU